rnacentral:rRNA from 1 species
GACGAACGCUGGCGGCGUGCCUAAUACAUGCAAGUCGAACGCAGUGGGGACGGGUGAGUAACACGUGGGUAACCUCCCAUCAGAGGGGAUAACACUUGGAAACAGGUGCUAAACCGAUACUGAUGGAUGGACCCGCGGUGCAUUAGCUAGUUGGUGAGGUAACGGCUCACCAAGGCCACGAUGGAUAGGCGACCUGAGAGAGUGAUCUGCCACACGUGGACGGCAACAGGGCCCAGACUCCUACGGAAGGCAGCAGUCGGAAAUCUUCGGAAAUGAACGAAAGUCUGACCGAUCAACGCCGCGUGAGUGAAGAAGGUUUUCGGAUCGUAAAACUCUGUUGUUAGAGAAGCGGGAUCUAACCAGAAAGCCACGGCUAACGACGUGCCAGCAGCCGCGGUAAUUC